rnacentral:rRNA from 1 species
AUUGAACGCUGGCGGCAUGCCUUACACAUGCAAGUCGAACGGUAACAGGUCUUCGGAUGCUGACGAGUGGCGAACGGGUGAGUAAUACAUCGGAACGUGUCCGAGAGUGGGGGAUAACGAGGCGAAAGCUUUGCUAAUACCGCAUACGAUCUCAGGAUGAAAGCAGGGGACCGCAAGGCCUUGCGCUCACGGAGCGGCCGAUGGCAGAUUAGGUAGUUGGUGGGAUAAAAGCUUACCAAGCCGACGAUCUGUAGCUGGUCUGAGAGGACGACCAGCCACACUGGGACUGAGACACGGCCCAGACUCCUACGGGAGGCAGCAGUGGGGAAUUUUGGACAAUGGGCGCAAGCCUGAUCCAGCCAUGCCGCGUGCAGGAUGAAGGCCUUCGGGUUGUAAACUGCUUUUGUACGGAACGAAAAGACUCCUUCUAAUAAAGGGGGUUCAUGACGGUACCGUAAGAAUAAGCACCGGCUAACUACGUGCCAGCCGCCGCAGUAAUAC